AGUAACAGAACCUGUGUGCAAGAGCUAGGUGAAGGACCUCUAGCACUAGGGAGCUCUGUCCACUUCUCUGAGGAAGUGAGGCCACGUGUGGGGUACCGCAACCAAUUCAUCAUUGCCUUCUCCAGCUGCUGGAGACAGGGCACCGGAGGGUGCACUCCAGGUUCAGGUGGCAGUGUUGAAGCCGAAAGCUUCUAAAGAAGUGGUUUCAGAAAAAUUAAGAGUUGAAUGUAUAUGAGUAAGCAAACGUAGGAAUCCAAAAAACCACAGCCUGGGACAGAUCAAGCCUAGUACCUUUCCAGCACUUAAGAAGAGUUCAUGCCCAAUCGAUUCACUAUUCAUCUUGAUUCCAUCAUGAAGGUAAACUAAAUUGCCA
rnacentral:lncRNA from 1 species